GCGGGACUUGUAUAUAAAUUUUGUUUUUAUUGAAUUAGUAUUAAGCUAAGAGGAAUACGACAACGGGUGGGCGUCAUCCGUGGAUUGUUAUGAGGCUUUUGGAUCGUUCUCAACCCUGUUUCCGGCGCCUUGCACCAAUCAAUAUAAAGACCUUUAGCUGAUGAGAAAGGUACACCAGAAUAUGAAUACCGAUAAGCGUCGUUCCUGUUUAAAGCUUCUUCUCCAUCAAUGGGCUGCAAAAAAAUCAGUAACUGGUGGGUUACGCAAGUGAAAACAAUUAGAAAACUAAAAAGAUAAGAACCUCUUCUCCCAACUAUAGGCUGGCGCUGAAAAGGAGAUGAAUGCUGCGAUCAUCUAACUGGGACUUACUAAAUAGAUAAGAAGAUAUCAUCUGUACGACACUAGUGUCUCUGUCUGGAAAUCUACAGACACUCUAUCUCUCUCUGUAUGAACAAGAUCCUUAUGAUAAACUCAAUCCCACUUUGAUUUAUGAAAUAGAAAGAUCCAAACAACGAUUACGUUUACAAACAAAAAAAAUAAUAGAUGAUGCAGAUAAUUCAUUGUCGCCCAGAUGAUCAAAAGAAGAGAGAAGCUUCAACGCCGAAGCCUCUGAUCGAGAUAGCGUCUUUGUUUCCCAUGCCACGCCUGCCUUAGUCAACAAAAGCCUUGAACUUACUCUGUAUCAAUACCCGCCCCUUUCAGAUGCAGCUUUUCCUCAAAGCUGGAGAGUUGGCGUUCGUGGUGGCAGCUCAUGUGUCAUGAUCAACGAUGAAGAAAACCGCUGAACCACUCUUCGUAACUUAUCACAAGACCCAUAUAGGAGGAAUGUAGAAUAUGUAACAUUCAGUUUUUGUUUUUCAAAGAAACCACAAAAUUUAUUUAAAGCUUAGGGAUUAAUAAGCAGAAAGCUUAUGAUCUGUAAUUGACAUUUCGUUCAGAAGCUAAAUGUUUAUCAUUGAUACUCAGUUUUUUUUAGUCAA